GUAGGGGGCAAGCGUUGUCCGGAAUCAUUGGGCGUAAAGCGCGCGUAGGCGGCCUCGCAAGUCCGCUGUAAAAGUCAAAGGCUCAACCUUUGAAUGCCAGUGGAAACUGUGAGGCUAGAGUCCGGAAGAGGCGAGUGGAAUUCCUGGUGUAGCGGUGGAAUGCGCAGAUAUCAGGAGGAACACCAACGGCGAAGGCAGCUCGCUGGGACGGUACUGACGCUGAGGCGCGAAAGCGUGGGGAGCAAACAGGAUUAGAUACCCUGGUAGUCCACGCCGUAAACGAUGGGCACUAGGUGUGGGAGGUGUCGACUCCUUCCGUGCCGGCGCUAACGCAUUAAGUGCCCCGCCUGGGGAGUACGGCCGCAAGGCUAAA
rnacentral:rRNA from 1 species